CCUUGCUUGCUUGAAAGAUCAUUAUGUAUUGCUAAAUAAAUCCUGGCUCCUUUUUAUUCUGUAGCCUGCUACAGAGUUGUACAGGGGAGCCAAUGUUUCUGUGGCUAGCUCAAUGCCCAGUUUCUCAAGCAUCUCUACCUUGAGUAACAGUAUUCUACGUUCAAGGCUUGCUAGCUACAGUGCUACUCCAAAAGCCUUCAGGAAUAUAAGUCUGUUCUAAAUAUUCUUGCAGUGGCAGCAAAGUGGGACCAGCAGGAGACAUUCAGGAGAGACACACAGACAGAAGAGAAGCCUCAGGCACACAGAAAAGAAGGGGCUGUGAAGACAGAGGCAGGAAUUGGAGUGAUCCAGCUGCAAGGAACUGGGGAAGCCACCAGAAGU